rnacentral:rRNA from 1 species
CGUGUAGGCGGCCUUUUAAGUCAGGCGUGAAAUCCAUGGGCUUAACCCAUGAAUUGCGUUUGAAACUGGAGGGCUUGAGGAUCGGAGAGGGCAGUGGAAUUCCCAGUGUAGCGGUGAAAUGCGUAGAUAUUGGGAGGAACACCAGUGGCGAAGGCGACUGCCUGGACGACACCUGACGCUGAGGCGCGAAAGCUAGGGGAGCAAACGGGAUUAGAUACCCCGGUAGUCCACGCUGUAAACGAUGAAUACUAGGUGUGGGUAUCGCAGGAUAUCCGUGCCGCAGCUAACGCAAUAAGUAUUCCGCCUGGGGAGUACGGCCGCAAGGUUGAA